rnacentral:rRNA from 1 species
AGAGUUUGAUUAUGGCUCAGAUNNNACGCUGGCGGCGUGCCUAACACAUGCAAGUCGAGCGGUAACAGGUGUAGCAAUACAUGCUGACGAGCGGCGAACGGGUGAGUAAUGCUUUGGAAUCUUCCCAGUAGUGGGGAAUAACCAGUCGAAAGAUUGGCUAAUACCGCAUACGUCUGUAAAGGGAAAGCGGGGGCUCGUAAGACCUCGCGCUAUUGGAUGAGCCAAAGUCGGAUUAGCUAGUUGGUGGGGUAAUGGCCUACCAAGGCGACAAUCCGUAGCUGGUCUGAGAGGACGACCAGCCACACCGGAACUGAGACACGGUCCGGACUCCUACGGGAGGCAGCAGUGGGGAAUAUUGGACAAUGGGGGAGACCCUGAUCCAGCGACGCCGCGUGUGUGAAGAAGGCCUGCGGGUUGUAAAGCACUUUUAGUGGGGACAAAAAGCUACGGAUUAAUACUCUGUGGUCUUGAUUUAACCCAAAGAAAAAGCACCGGCUAACUCUGUGCCAGCAGCCGCGGUAAUACAGAGGGUGCGAGCGUUAAUCGGAAUUACUGGGCGUAAAGCGCGCGUAGACGGUUUUGUAAGUCAGAUGUGAAAUCCCUGGGCUCAACCUGGGAACUGCAUUUGAGACUGCAUGGCUAGAGUAUCGAAGAGGGAAGUGGAAUUUCCGGUGUAGCGGUGAAAUGCGUAGAUAUCGGAAGGAACACCAGUGGCGAAAGCGACUUCCUGGUCGAAUACUGACGUUCAUGUGNNNNNNCGUNNNGAGCAAACA